rnacentral:rRNA from 1 species
AUGGCCCAAGGGAUCAAUGAUACCGUAAUUUGUCUCAUACCCAAAGGGAAAGAACCCCAAACACUAAAGGACUACCGGCCCAUUAGCUUGUGUAAUGUCAUAUACAAGGUGAUCUUCAAAUGUUUGGUGAACCGUCUCCGGCCUCUUCUGGAUGACCUUGUCUCAGAGACGCAAAGUGCGUUCAUCCCAGAAAGAAUGAUAACCGACAAUGCCAUCAUUGCGUUCGAGUGCUUUCACAAAAUCCAACAUAGCAAAAAUCAGCAUCAAACCCACUGUGCCUAUAAGCUUGACCUUGCAAAAGCAUAUUGCUAA